AGAAGAUGGUGCUCUUGUACUGCUGUGGAUCGCGUAGGGAGACUGUAACUACAAGCUCUGCACACGCGCAGCUGCUUGAGGAAGACGCUAACUUUGGUCAUCUCUUUGUCAAUUCACAGUGGCAACAUAGUGCUUCCUAGCCUGUUUAACCUGCCGGUCCAGAUUCUAGGUCUGAGCCAGACCUAGGGGGAAUGCAGUCCACUAACACCAUAAAAUGUCUCCCAGCACAACAAAAACUCAGACGAUGUUGGGUCAACAUAAGGAAAGGCUGUAGUCACGGAGAGACCUCCACUUUGUUUUGAAACUGACAAAACCGACAGAGUUGGCUUUCAUCCUAUUGGACAGGACAGGACUGCGGAAAUAAUUCAUGUGUGUCUGUCCUCCCUGGGAAAGAAAAUGCUGCCGACAUGUCUGGGACGAGAGGAGAUGGGAGGAGAGCGACGUCUGAAAAUAGAGGAGGGGAUGACAGAGGCAGAGAUGGAUGGGUGGAGUGAAAGAGCGAGGCAGAAAAGAGCGUGUGUGGGACAGAGAGAGACUUGUCAAAACUUGGCCUCUUCGCUGCCUCGCCAACUGCUUUUAGCAUUCCGCUCUUUCUCAGGGCAGUUUGUGUGGAUGUGUGUGCUUGCGUGUUUAAGGACUGAACGGCCUGCUAUCUCAAAUCCGACACUCAACUCCUGGCAACAGUUUUAAGUCAAGAAAAUUAAAUUCUUGAGUAGAAAUAAGCAGAUAAACAGAGUUUUCCUUUACAAAUAUUGCAUAUAUCGGAUAGACAUCUAAAACCAUCUUCAUAAAAAAUGCAGCAAGCUCUCACCAUCAUUAUGUCUCACGCACAUACACGCUGUCAGUUCUUUUCCUCUGCUGUCUUGGACCAGUGGUGGUCUGACUAAGUGAAACAAAAUAACACGCAUGCUCAAAUUCUGAUCCAGAGCUUUAGUGAUUUGUGAAUGUGUGUAUGUGCACUGUGUGUAUAUGUAGGCAUGUUCUCAUAUUUAUCCUGAGAACCACUGAACCUCUUUCUAUGACUUUCAAAGGACAUUUAAUUUUAUUAUUUUUGAGUCUAACAUUAUGAUUAUGGUAAAAAAAAGAGCUACAAAUGAAAAUAGAUUUGAUUCUGAGUUGAGCUGGAUUAUCCUCAGGAAACCCCCUGAACCAUCUCAAGAAUAUGUGGAACUCCUUACUUUGAACCCUUUCAUUGACCCUUCUAGACCCUUCAAGGACACCAGUAAACUCUUAAUGAUCCAAAAAGAUUUCUAAUAUUCUGUUUUAAGUUUCCCCUGCAAUUUUCUUGAGGACUCCAGGGCACUUCUCAGGAACUUUGCAACCUCGUCAAGGACCCAAAAACUAAUUGGUAACUUUACUGGGGGUGCAGCUCUUGCAGGACAUAUGAUAACAGUGACACUUGUAUUCCAAAAUAUGAGAAUAAAUAUCAAAUCAUCAUAUUUGAA